UUAUAAGAGACAGCAGCAGCCGCGGUAAUACAGAGGGUGCGAGCGUUAAUCGGAUUUACUGGGCGUAAAGCGUGCGUAGGCGGCUUUUUAAGUCGGAUGUGAAAUCCCUGAGCUUAACUUAGGAAUUGCAUUCGAUACUGGGAAGCUAGAGUAUGGGAGAGGAUGGUAGAAUUCCAGGUGUAGCGGUGAAAUGCGUAGAGAUCUGGAGGAAUACCGAUGGCGAAGGCAGCCAUCUGGCCUAAUACUGACGCUGAGGUACGAAAGCAUGGGGAGCAAACAGGAUUAGAUACCCCAGUAGUCCCUGUCUCUUAUAC
rnacentral:rRNA from 1 species